CUAUUUUCAAGAUAUAUGAAAUUAAUUUUUUUAUUUACAUUAAGGUAAUAUAAAAGGGGUCAUUAAUAUUCAAUAUUCAUUAUAGUUAUUUUCGUUGUACUCUAUACAGAUAAUAUAGUAGUCAAUAUCAGAAAAUUCAAAAUGAAAUACUUCAACAUCAUUUUUGUUUUGUGUUUUGUCAUGUGCAUCGUUUCCUUUUCAAUUGUCUCAGCUUCAUCCCUGCGUAACAUUGAAAGUAAACCUUUGGUAAACGAACAUAAACCGGGUGAUGACGACAGUACUGCUCUUGAUGAUGAUGAUCAAACUAAAGGUUCAGUACCAUUGAAUUCCGUCAACCUUUAAUCAGUUCCACUUUAAACAUUUUCAAAAUAUAUGAAAAAAACAUUAAUUCAACAAUAUUAUAAAAUUUUCAGUUAAUAUAUCAAUUUAUAUAAAUUUCAUAAUUAAAAUUGUUAUACAUUUUAUAAUGAUUUUGUUUCCAUAAUAAAAUUUUUCAUAACAGUC